rnacentral:misc_RNA from 1 species
ACUGCAGCGCAUGCUCAUGACGCUAUAUUUCGUUGCUAUAACAGGUUUUGUAAUUUGAAAAGUGGUCAACUUUAACGAUUAAUAUUUCGCUUCGCGAGACAGAGCGACACUUUUUUCUGCCAGAUUCUUUCAUUUCACGGAAAAACGCGUCGAAUGAGCAUAAAUUUUUCAAAAUUGGAGAGAACGGAGAUAUAGCAACAGCUUGAUGGCUGAUGGUACAGAAGCCGUCGUCGUCACGAAUACGCCACGUGCAGUAAAUUUUGCUGUAAAUUUACAGCACAAUGAGCCGAUCCAAUGCGAAGAAGGUAGUUAUAGAACAACAGCUGAUCGAUGAAGUUUUUCGACGAUCUGGAUUGUGGAACUACAAUCUACCUAGGGUUAAACGCAGGCCGCAAGUAAGGAUAAAGCUCUGGAAAGAAGUGUUUGCAGCUCUGGACGGCAAAAGUAUUGCAACCAAUGUAGCAUUGACCAAUAUUGAAACUAUUAAGCGCUCAAUACUUGUUGUAUAUUGAACAAUUCUACAUUCGUCUCGUGAAGGGUUUUUCCAUAAGGAAGAUUUUCCAUCAAUUUGAUAAAAAAGAAGUGGAAGUUGCUGUACAAUUCUUUUCAGUUUUAUUUGAAAAAGGAUCAGCAAGCGGCGAGUGGAAAAAAACUGUGGGUACAUUUCCAAUGUAUGCAGUUUUUGCGUGAUCUGCUAGAGAGCAAAAAUUACAGAAAUAUUGAGCUGCCGAAAUUUUCUGAUUCGCAUUCGGAUUUAUCGGAGAUGGCCAGCCCGCUUUACGACAGCAGCACUGAUCAUGGAUCACAUUGCUCCACAAGCUGCAUAUGAUAAACCUGCAUUAAUUGGCAAUUUGGUAACUGCCCUACUUCGUGACGUAGACCCGGAAUUGCUGGACGAAGUGAUGCUGGACAUUUUAAAAGUAACUAAUGCAAAAAAAAGGAAGAUAUAAGAGGAUCAAAAAUAUUUUCCUCCGUUUCCCUGUCGCUGCUCUUACUGUACCUGUGAUAGAAAUGUUGGAUAAAUUACCGAAAAGCUAUCAAAUCGGAGGUGAUAGCCUUUCGGAAGUCCACCCAAAA